GCAUCGGUGGUUCAGUGGUAGAAUGCUCGCUCGCCACGCGGGCGGGCCGGGCCCGACUCCCGGCUGAUGCA